UACAGAGGGGGCAAGCGUUGUUCGGAAUUACUGGGCGUAAAGGGCGCGUAGGCGGCCACCGCAAGUCGACUGUGAAAUCUCCGGGCUUAACCCGGAACGGUCAGCCGAUACUGCGGGGCUAGAGUGCAGAAGGGGCAACUGGAAUUCUCGGUGUAGCGGUGAAAUGCGUAGAUAUCGAGAGGAACACCUGCGGCGAAGGCGGGUUGCUGGGCUGACACUGACGCUGAGGCGCGAAAGCUAGGGGAGCGAACGGG
rnacentral:rRNA from 1 species